CCGGCGUCAGCGCUGCCCGGACAGGCCAUCGGAGCUUCCGCGGCGCCGAUGCGGGCCGGCUCUUCCAGGGCGAGAGGAAGCCCGCCGUGGCCUUGACCGGCAGGCACGUUUCUCGGGAGGAUGAGGACGAAAGGCCGCCGGCCCCAGCCCGACGUUUUGCCGGUCAGGGUAACAGGUUACACUUCGAGCAGUUCGGAGGUUUCCAAUCGGUGGAAGCGCUGAGAAAGGGGUGCUCGGAAUGAAGAGCAAUCUUGCCCUCACGCGCACUGUGAGUGGUCUUCGUCCAAGCCAGGCUGUGUCCACAAGCUUCCAGCUGACAUUUGGAAGAAAGAUACGCUUCUUCUGAGCUGAUUUUGGAGAGUUCUACAAAUACUCCUCAUGGCCCCGUUCUCGGACCUCUGACCCCACUCCCACGUGAGGGCCAGGACGGAUCAGCGCAGCCCUGUGUGUGGUUCAUGUCUUCCAAGGUUCACAUCAGCUCCUCCAAGAGCUUCAUACCUCCAUGACGACGAAUGUCACUUGGACAUAAAGGGGGUGUGGUUCCGGUGACCAAGAGAGGUCUCCAUGACUUCCCCAUCCUUGAAGGCAGGACCACCGGCUGUCCAGGCGAGUGAAGGGCUGAACAUACAAAGGCCAGAUCACCUGCGACCGGAUCACAACAGAACCCCUACAGCCAUCAGCUUCGACCAUGCCCACCCAGGACCUGCUUUCAGCUCGGGACCAGCAGCCCAGUCUGCUCCCCAGACCAGUACACAGGUGCCCCUCCGGCUGACCGCGCUGGCGUCCGAGUACCCACACCUUGUACUGGCAGCUCUCCAUCCCUGCCUGCCUCUGAGGCUCUGCUGAACCAGCGACGGGGCUGCACCCCGCCAAGAUCACCCCGCAGCCUUCACUUGCUCUGUCUGGGUGGUCCCCUGUCCACCACACAAGGAGUAAGAUGGACGCCUGUGAGUAAAGCCUCUUUCUGCCCAGGUUCAAUGUCCGGUUCCUCUGGGGGUCACCUGGGUCAGGUGGUUCCAUGCCCCUCCCAGCAGCGGUCACAGCCAGGCCUCCCCUCCACUCUUGGAAAACACAACAGAGGCCUCUUUUGGGGCCCAGCCACCAAGCGAGGCCUGAAGAUCCCACAGAAAGAUGGGACGUAAAUAGGCAAAACAACUCCCAGGAUUUGCUUGCCCCAGGGGGAGAAAAAAAAAAAAAAAUCCUCCGCACAAACUGCAAGACAAAAGCCCAAUCCUCCAGCAGGCCUUUCCCAGAACUGCCACCUGGCACCCUCCCACACACACCCUGGCCCGGGGCCAGGCCCAGGUGCCGGCCGGCAGGGUGCUGGGGCAGCCUGUGGGAGCCAGAGCCUCUGCGAAUCCUGAUCACGGCUGCCCCAGCACACUUGGCCCCGGGAACUCACUCGCCACCCAGGCGCCAGCCGGACCGAGAACGUCAGGGUUUUCCUCCCGGAUCUGGGAGCUGCUUGAGCUGAAACCUGGAACCCACCCACCUCACCCCAACAGCCUGUGAUCCGUCCCACCACCCUCAUCAAGGACCUCGAAAGCGGCUGGUAAGAAAUGGGGGUGGUGGGCCCUGGAGGCCAGUGGGGUGACCCUGAGUCUGCUGCACCUGCGAACCACCUGGGGAGAUUUCGGAACUCCAGGGCCCAGCUCGAACCCAGACUCAGUAGAUGGUCGGCUCUCUGGGAGGGCUGGGCCCACAGCACGCGGGAGGGCAAGGGUCAAAGGGUAGGGGUCGGCAUGCUGGCGUCACCUGGCAGUUUUAAAAACUUCUGCACAUCUGUUCACUCCCAGAGAUCCUGAUCACAGUCUGGGAUGAGACCCUGAUGGUCUCAGAUUGAAAGGCGCCUACACAGCAGAAUCACCUGGGGGAGCUUCCCAAACAACCUUCGGUAUCUGGGCUCCACUCUCAACGACUUGGGUUUCAUGCAGGGCAGCGGCCCUCAAACCCAGGCUGCACCCAGCAGCCUUCCUGGAGGCGGGGCCCAGUGCCCCCAACACUGAGACCCAGAGGACCCCGUGACCCGGGACCCCCAGGAUCCCUGACAUCCUUUCAGGAUCGCUGUUAGCUCACAAGGCUUUCCUUUACAACACCCAGAUGCAAUCCGCCUCUGCCUACUUCACACCCCACUUUCUCAAGGGUUUCUCAGAGCCCUCGGCAGAGGGGAGCCCCACCCCUGCUCUUCCCGCCUCCUCUGGCAUCCUCCCUGAGUAAAUUUUCUGGCUGUGACAAUAUGGUUGCUUAUCUUGAAAAAUAAGUUUCGGUUUACACGUAAUGGGUUUAUUAUGGUUUUUUUUUUUUUAAUUAGUAAAUAUUUGAAGAUUUCUCUUCAUUGCUAACAUGGUAACUGUUUGGCAGAUGCAACUCUCAGAUCACCAGUUCAGGCUCUACCCCUUGCCAGAGCUGUAACCUGUCACCAAACCUCCGUCAUCAUUGUCCCAGCCCAGCUAAAGGGCAUAAUUAACGCCUACUCACAGGGGAACCGAGAGGCUUAACGCAAAGCGGGUUGUUAAGCCCGAGCUAGAACAGGCGCUUAGUACAAGGUUCCUUGCCUCCCUCGCCCUCCCGUCAGGGAGCAACCGGUCUGUAGUCACCUGGAUUCUGGGCUCAGGGAUCUGGGUUCGUCGAGCCAGUUCUUCUCUGGCAGUGAUAUCAGGGUAUGAGUCCCUCUCGAAGGCCUCGAUGAGCACCUGGUACUGGGUCUUGCUGAACUUGGUCCUUUUGCGUCUCCGACCUCCCUGGGGCGCUGGGACAGAUUCGCACCCAGAAAGAGGAGGUGUUAGUCUGACCCCAUGUUUAGGUCCGUUUUGAGACUCGCUCCCCGUCCAAGUCAGCGUGCAGCCUCCCCAAGACGAGGUGUCUGCCUGCAGACACGGGACUCCGGCGCCUCUGAAAAAGCCUCCCAGUCGUCCCGAGCUGCUGCCCCUGGCUGGUGCCCUAGGCGGACAUGCUGGGGACCCUCCCUGAGCUCCCGCACCGACGGCUGCACCUGCUCUCCCCACAUGAGCUGACCCCCCCACCCCGCCCCCAAUCCCCAGCUGCGGGCUGCGGGCUGUGAGGGCAUCUCGGAGGGCUCGGCCGCUCCGGGGUGGGCACGACUGGGUCUCCCAGCCUCCAACUGCCCACUACCUCUGCUUGUGCCCAAGACACACGAGUGGGGAGAGAGGCCAAAAACCACAAGAUAAGGAGACUUCGUGUGCAAAAGCCCAGCCCAGGGGAUUUCUGUCUGUCAACACGGGUUUUUUUCCCCUGUGACCUGGGGAAGAUUGCUGGUCCCCAACCCCGGGCCGGGCAGAGCGGGCUCCCCUCUGACGGGAUUCAGGUCGACACAGAAUCCGCUGUGGAGAAAAGCCCGCAGAAUACACGGCCCGGGGGAAGCCGGGCUCCCUUCCCUCCUGUCCUCCUCAGGCCCCACAGUGCCAGCCAGCAGCCCCCACCAGAGGGGACUUGUGGACUGAAAAAUGGUGUCGCCCGUGCUCCUCAAGGGGGCCUUUCCGGGUUUGGUCCGGGGUGUUGGUCUCUCCUCCCAGGUCCCCAAACCAGAUGUCACGGUGAGCAACGCCUGAGACCUGCCUGGACCCCACUGCCCGGCCUCUCCGGCCACCACCCCCACCCCCAGGACCCCCCUCUAGGACUCACGGUCUGAAGACAUGACCAAGCUGGAGACUGAAGCAGGUCAGAGGGAUCUCGAGCAGAGGUCAGGCCCGGGCCCGCGACAGACGCAGCCCUGGAUUCAAGCCAGCCUUGGCCCUGACCUGUGGCCAGGCCCCUCCCCUGCCACAGGCCGUGAGGGCGUUUCUGUCCGGCAACCCACACGUGGCGACUCCAAGCUGGGAUGUGCCGUGAGCGGAAGGGAGCCCCGGACAGUGGAUACUGAAGCUGCCGGCAGACCUCGCCGCUGUGUGGGCAGAGCUGGGGAGCCAGCCCCGGCCCUGGGACAGCUGCCUGUCUGCGUUUCCACGGCAACGCACGGAGGGAUGCCAAGCCUCCUGCCUUUACAGACAAAUGCUUAUGUCCUCUAUCUUUUUCCCAAAUCACCCCCCAAAACAGUUGACGAUUCUUGACCUCUGCCCCUUCCCCACCUCUCUGGAAGAGAGGGCCCAGGACACCUGCGGAGUUGAUUGCUGCCCAGGUGCACAGGUAGCGCUCCCAGAGGGAGACGCAUUUUGGAGACUGAGGACUGUGCCCUUGGUGGAGACAGGGCCGGCUCUCCCCUCGCCUUUGUCCAGCGAACUGCCCUGCCUAAGGACAGAGCGUGGCUUUGAUGGGACACUUUGCUGUCUGAGCCUCGGUGUCUGUAACAGUGAAACUCUAAAAGCUUUUGAAAUGCAAACGGACUGGCCCUGGCCCACUUGGAGCACCACCCAAGGAUUUCAUGGCUCCAGGCAGGAGGGAUACACUAGUCCCAAUGUUGGCUGAGCCUUUUCUCCAAGUUUCUAUUCCUAGGAGGUUAUAACUAUGAGUCAGAAAAUUACCAUAAAUUACCCUGGGGCUGGGGCUGGGGGGUAGGCUGAAGGCCAGGGGGGGGUUGGGAAAUCACUUCCCCAAGGGGACCACUCCCACCACUGGCAGAGCCCAGAGCCAACAUUGGAACCUGAACUUGAGAGUCCAGACUUUGGGGGGUGGGGUGCUGCUGGUCAUGAUCAAGCUUCUGUCACUUGAAAACGGCAGCGGUCUGGGGUCAGGACACAGACAACAACACAGAGACACAGUCCCUUCCUCCACAUCCUAAUUUUGUUAGUUCCAUUAGGAAAAUAUGUCAUACAAAUGAAGUUAAAACCCAACAAUAAUCCCAGUUUUUGAAAUGGUAUAAAACUGGGGCGCCUGAGUGGCUGAGUUUGGUUAAGCGUCUGAUUUAGGCUCAGAUUAUGAUCUCAAGGUUCGUGGGCUCAAGCCCCGCAUCGGGCUCUCUGCUGUCAGCGCAGAGCCUGCUUGGAUCCUCUGUCCCUCUCUUUCUCUGUCCCUCCCCCGCUCAUGCUCUCCCUCAGAAAUAAAAUAAGUAUUUUUAAAAAAUGGUAUAAAAUUAGAGUAAAACAUCUUCCAGGUCUCCAUGGCCCCUGACGCCCGCCCCUGCGAUGGCAACCCCAGGAGAAACGUUUACUUUGUCCCGCUGCAUUUUCCUUGUGUUUCUACAUAUAGUAUCUCAUUUAUUUACAAACAACGUGAGCAAGCUACAUCUGUGAGGCACUUCCUGCGGCAGGCCCCAGUGCAGCUGACCAGGGUUCACUCGCCCUCCAAUCAUCCUGCCUCCACCGAUAGGCGUGUCCUUUCUCUCCUGUAUUUUGGAGUCCGGUGGAUGUCCCUGCGGGGACAGAUGAGCAUUGACGAGACUCAUCUCGGGCGGGGAGAGGGGAGGGGGCAGGGCGCUGCCUCAGCCCAGCAGGACUGCCACAUGUGGGGCGGCCUGGCCUCCGGGGAAGAUGCCAAGCCCGGGCUGAGCCUUCCAGGAGGAAGGGGGUCUCAUUUACCCGUAGCCUCCACCUGGAAGGAGCUGUUUGAUUCUGUCAGAGAGGAGGGAUUGCCUGUGGGUAAGGAC